AGCCGCUCCGCGGCAUGUGGGAUCCUCCCGGACCGGGGCACAAACCCAUGUCCCCUGCAUCGGUAGGCGGACUCUCAACCACUGUGCCACCAGGGAAGUCUGGGGUUAUGGGUUUUAUAUACACAGAGUGCUAGAUGGAUCAGUGGAUGUCCAGGUGGUUUCUCAUACUGCCCAUCAGUGGUAGUUAUUCACCCUGGGAUUUUUCCCGGCCUCCCUUCAAGAGAGGAAAGUAUCUCUUACUAACGUUUAAUCUCGGAUAUCCAGUUAUCCAUGGAAGGCUGAUGUGUCUUGAUAUGAUAGAAUUGAACAAGGAAUUUGCGGGUGUCCCAGUGGAAUAAGAUGUAUACCAAACACAAUUUACACAAUUUUUUCAGCUUCAUGUAAAGACAUCACAGUGAAUCUAUCAACAGCAGGUAACAAGGCACAUAGCAGGUAUUGAGGUAAGUGAUAAUUUGGGCCUAAACCACAGCCCAGAUCAUGUGAUCUUCACACAUAUGAGUAAGUGAUGAUGGUGUCCCUAAUACUUGUGCUCCCCUAUUUUUUUUUUGCAGGUAUUCUGUUCAGGUCUUUGGUGGUACAUAGGUAUGAGAUGUGACAUGAACUUAUUAGAGGGCUGCUUAUUUUCAGAUAUCUAUGUAAUUAUCUGAUAUUUACCUUGUUUUUUGGCAAGUAUAAGCUAAAUUAAUUUGUCCCUAGUAAUACUAGCAAGUGGUAAUUUUUACUGUAUUCUUGUACAGAGAUAACGUGUAUUUCUCACUUGUAGUGGUGGACAGAUUGCAAGCAUCCAGGUAGUUUGUCAUAUUGUUCUAACUGCGUCAUUAACCAUGGGAUAUUUGCAAGUAGCUGUUCAUGGGAGGAAGGUGUGUGUUACUAGGGUUUGACCUCAGAGUUCUCCAAGUAUCCAAGUAAUGUUGAAUGGUCCCAAAGUGAUACAGAUGAUGAGGGAAUUUGCAGGUGCACAGGUAGAACGAGACACUGUACCAAGCACAUUUUUCACACUGUGUUUUUCAGGGCUUGUCAAGAGAUCAGGCCGCAAGCCUCUCUAUGGCAGUUGAUGGCGGGACAUCGCUGGUGUUGAGAUAAGUGAUGGCGUGGGCCUAAACCAUCCAGUCUUCCUGUAUGUAGGUAAGUGAUGAAGGGUGUCAGUGCUGCUUGUCACCGUGACUUUGUUGCAGGUGUUCAGGUAAGAAAUGAACAGGUAGUCUUUAGCAAAUCUAGAGACUAUGAGUUUUCACUUUUUAUAUGUUAGGGAAAAUUUAUGUUUAACACUAGGAAUGCUCAAGGGUUACAGGUAUACAGGUGUUUAUCAUGAUUUUCCCCACCACAGUACUACCCAUAGGAUUUGUACAGGUGUCCAGUCAAGAAAUGACAGUUUUCCAACCUUGGCGUUGACCUUGGAUUACUGUAAGUAUCCAGGUAAAGUUGAUAUAUCUCCUAACGAUUAAGUGACCAAGAUUAUUUGCAGGUGUCCUGGUAGAAAAAACUGUGCCCCUAACAAAUGUUUCAAAACAUGUCUUUCAGAUUUCCUUCAAGAGAUCACAAUGAACUAACAUUGGUCGUGGAUGGGGGACAUGGCUGGGAUGCAGGUAAGUGACGGUAUGGGCCUCAACCACAGCACAGGCUUUCUGAUCUCCAGGUAGCCAGGUAGGUGAUGAUGAUAUCCCUCACGCUUGUUACCAUGAUUUCCUUGCAGGCGUUCAGAUAGGAAAUGAUGGAUCCCUUACCAGUUCUAGAAACCAGGAGUUUUCAUUUAUUAUAUUUUAAAGAAACUUUUUGUCUUUCUCUGUGAAUGUUGAGUAAUUUCACAUAACCAUGUAAUUAGCAUGAUGGCCGCAGCCAUGGUAGUGACCAUGGAAAUUUUGCCUGUGUUCCCUUAAGAAAUGUCAGCUUACCUGAGAAUAUUCCUAACUUGGCUUACUGCCAGUAUUCAGUUAGAGCUGAUGUUCUCAUAAUGAUGAAAGUAGUGAACGUUCUUUGCAGGUGUCAUGUUAGAACAAGUUGUGUCCUUUUACACAUAUAUCAUAAUACCUUUUUCAGGUUCAUGUCAAGAGAUUGUGGUGAACAUGACAAUGGUUGUUUUCAGAGACAUUUCUGUUAUCCAGGUAAGUGAUGAUAGGCACUUUCACCCCAUCAGAGACCGUCCAGUCUUCAUAUGCUUAAGUAAGUGAUAUUUGUUCCUGUUUUGCCAGGGCAUUUUGGGGGCUAGGUUUUCAGGUAAGAAUUGAUAGUGUCUCACCAAUUCUGGAAACCAUGUUAUCCUCCUGUUUUAUAUUUUAUAAAAAAUUUAUGUUUGUGUAAUUGUUGAGAGACUUGCAGAUAUCCAGGUAAUUCUCAUAUAGCUGCGUGUCACAGUAGUAAUCAUGGUUUUCUCUUGCAGGUGAGCAUCCAAGAGGUAAUGCUGUGCCUAGCAAUGGCCUAGACCUUGGAGUUACUGCAAGAUUCCAGAGCACAGGCUCCAGACGCGCAGGCUCAGCAGCCAUGGCUCACGGGCCCAGCCACUCUGCGGCAUGUGGGAUCUUCCCAGACCGGGGCACAAACCCGUGUCCCCUGCAUCGGCAGGCAGACUCUCAACCACUGCACCACCAGGGAAGCCUGGGCCUCAUAAAUUUGAUGGAAUUUUCCUGGGGAUUCAGGAGAAGCCAUAUCAGGAGAAGAUCAGACGCCCAGUCAAACCCUGCCUGAAGCAAAGCACUGUACCCCUCACCUAGCCACCCUGCAGAUCCAAAAGUGAGCAAUAAAGGCUUGUAGUUGUACAUCAUUGAGAUUUGGGUGAUUUCUUAGGCAGUAUUACUUUGGCAAGAGCUGACUGAUACAUAU